rnacentral:lncRNA from 1 species
AAAACAGGGAGGAAUGAAUUUCCCUAGUGCCUUCCACCAUCAUCUCGCUCUUAUCAUGAAGGAGGGACUGUGCUGGCUUGCUGAAAAGAAAAAUGGGAGGGAGGAGAACACAGCCACUGGGGAGGCUGGAGCUCCCUAAAUGUAAUUUCCAUAUCUCAUUAUUUGCAGGCUGUGUCCCGAUCGGGCCAAGUACCCUUUGGAGAAGUUUUGCUCCAGAUGCAUCAGCUCAGGGCGGCUGCUGCUACCGAGGAGUCCCGAGAUGCUCCAGCCUUCUCCAUCCAUGUACCACAGGGGACCCACGGUGCAUUCCGGGAGCCAAACGCAUGACUCAGAUCUCUGUUCCUCCAGCGGCUCGAACUGCACGCUGCUGGUAGCUCUGCACCAAACCAAACCCGUGCUGGACCCAGCAAAACCUCUCCUGGUCAGUGGCGGAGGAAGCACAAGCACACGUAGCUCUGCACGGCUACCCCACAGAGAACCUGGCCCUGAUUCUGCUGUCAUGCUGGUGCAGAAGAGCAAUUCAACUGGUGUCAGAGGAUUUCCAUUGACAUAAAUCUAGUGUUUUGCCUCCCCCUCACAAUUUCUGCCAAAAGCUCUGGAUUGCUGUGGUCAAUGGCAUCUCCGAAGGACACAUGGGCUGACAGACGACAGACAGUAAGUUUGCCACAGCAAAUAUUGCAGUCUUUUCCAACAAAGGCAAAACAAAUCACAUGUUGUCAGUGGUAUUGCAGGUCAAGCAUGAAGU